rnacentral:tRNA from 1 species
ACCUGGGUGGCUCAGUCGGUUGAGCGUCUGACUUGGGCUCAGGUCAUGAUCUCAUAGCUUGUGAGUUCAAGCCCCAUGUCAGGCU